GACGAACGCUGGCGGCGUGCCUAAUACAUGCAAGUAGAACGCUGAAGGAGGAGCUUGCUUCUCUGGAUGAGUUGCGAACGGGUGAGUAACGCGUAGGUAACCUGCCUGGUAGCGGGGGAUAACUAUUGGAAACGAUAGCUAAUACCGCAUAAGAGUAGAUGUCGCAUGACAUUUGCUUAAAAGGUGCAAUUGCAUCACUACCAGAUGGACCUGCGUUGUAUUAGCUAGUUGGUGAGGUAACGACUCACCAAGGCAACGAUACAUAGCCGACCUGAGAGGGUGAUCGGCCACACUGGGACUGAGACACGGCCCAGACUCCUACGGGAGGCAGCAGUAGGGAAUCUUCGGCAAUGGGGGGAACCCUGACCGAGCAACGCCGCGUGAGUGAAGAAGGUUUUCGGAUCGUAAAGCUCUGUUGUAAGAGAAGAACGAGUGUGAGAGUGGAAAGUUCACACUGUGACGGUAUCUACCAGA
rnacentral:rRNA from 1 species